UACGAAGGGGGCUAGCGUUGCUCGGAAUCACUGGGCGUAAAGCGCACGUAGGCGGGUCGUUAAGUCAGGGGUGAAAUCCUGGAGCUCAACUCCAGAACUGCCCUUGAUACUGGCGAUCUCGAGUUCGGGAGAGGUGAGUGGAACUGCGAGUGUAGAGGUGAAAUUCGUAGAUAUUCGCAAGAACACCAGUGGCGAAGGCGGCUCACUGGCCCGAUACUGACGCUGAGGUGCGAAAGCGUGGG
rnacentral:rRNA from 1 species